rnacentral:rRNA from 1 species
UGGGGAAUAUUGCACAAUGGAGGGAACUCUGAUGCAGCGACGCCGCGUGAACGAAGAAGGCUUUCGAGUCGUAAAGUUCUUUUAUAUGGGAAGAUAAUGACGGUACCAUAAGAAAAAGCCCCGGCUAACUACGUGCCAGCAGCCGCGGUAAUACGUAGGGGGCUAGCGUUGUCCGGAAUCACUGGGCGUAAAGGGUUCGCAGGCGGCUUUACAAGUUGGAUGUGAAAUAUUGUGGCUCAACCACAAACGUGCAUCCAAAACUGCAAAGCUUGAGUUAAGGAGAGGUAAGUGGAAUUCCUGGUGUAGCGGUGGAAAGCGUAGAUAUCAGGAGGAAAACCGGUGGCGAAGGCGACUUACUGGACUUAAACUGACGCUCAGGCACGAAAGCGUGGGGAGCAAACAGG